rnacentral:lncRNA from 1 species
AUUCACAACACCAUUCCAAGGCACAAACUCGUGGAAGACUCCAUUGUGGUGUACCCCAAUCUGUGCACCAUCAACCAUAAUUGUUUGCAUCAUCAAUGUAUUGCAAAGUAUAAAUUCAAACUGGUUCAACAAUAUAUGGCAGCUUUUGCUGCAAUUCCACCACCAGUUUCAUAGGAAAAUAUUUAGGGUAAUGAGAGGCAAGAAGCGGAGAGCAAACAGUGGAACAAGUGUCCAACAAAGUACCAAUGCAGCAUUCUCAAAAACCUCUCCUGGACC